rnacentral:rRNA from 1 species
AUUGAACGCUAGCGGGAUGCUUUACACAUGCAAGUCGAACGCGUGGCGGACGGGUGAGUAAUAUAUCGGUACGUGCCCAGUAGCGGGGGAUAACUACUCGAAAGAGUGGCUAAUACCGCAUACUCUUGGAGCGGCCGAGAUCGGAUUAGCUAGGUGGUGGGGUAAAGGAUCAACAAGGCAACGAUCCGUAGCUGGUUGGAGAGGAAGACCAGCCACACUGGGACUGAGACACGGCCCAGACUCCUACGGGAGGCAGCAGUGGGGAAUUGUGGACAAGGGGGGAAACCCUGAUCCAGCCAUCCCGCGUGUAUGAGAAGGCCUUCGGGUUGUAAAGUACUUUUGGCAGAGAAGCGGUAUCUGCAGAAUAAGCACCGGCUAACUACGUGCCAGCAGCCGCGGUAAUUC